rnacentral:rRNA from 1 species
CGAUUCCGGAGAGGGAGCCUUAAAAACGGCUACCACUUCCAAGGAAGGCAGCAGGCGCGCAAAUUACCCAAUCCUGAUACAGGGAGGUAGUGACAAGAAAUAACGAUGCUGGUCAUUUAAUGACUAGCAAUCGGAAUGAGUACAAUGCAAAUAUCUUAACGAGGAACAAUUGGAGGACAAGUCUGGUGCCAGCACCCGCGGUAAUUCCAGCUCCAAUAGCGUAUAUUAAAGUUGUUGCAGUUAAAAAGCUCGUAGUUGGAUUCAGGGGCUUCCUUACAGCGACCUGCCUCAAAGGUAGGUUUCGCUUAUGGGUUGCUCAUAUCAUCUUCCGGAUCGUACUCCUCUGCCCUUAAUUGGGUGGGGGAGUGGUUCUGGAUCGUUUACUUUGAAAAAAAUUAGGGUGUUUAAAGCAGGCUACUAUUAUGCCUUGAAUAGAUUAGCAUGGGAUAAUGGAACACGACUCAGUUGCAGUUUUGUUGGGCUUGGGCGACUGGGUAAUGAUCAAUAGAAACGAUCGGGGUUAUUCAUAUUUAAUUGUCAGAGGUGAAAUUCUUAGAUUCUUUAAAGAUGAACCUAUGCGAAAGCAUCUAACAAGGGCGCUUUCAUUGAUCAAGAACGAAAGUUAGGGGAUCGAAGACGAUCAGAUACCGUCGUAGUCUUAACUAUAAACGUUGCGGACCAAGGAUCGGAGAGGUAUUUUUGUACUACCCCCCCAGCACUUUGAGAGUAAUCAUUGAGUUUUUGCGCUCCGGGGGGAGUAUGGUCGCAAGGCUGAAACUUAAAGGAAUUGACGGAAGGGCACCACCAGGAGUGGAGCCUGCGGCUUAAUUUGACUCAACACGGGAAAACUCACUAGGUCAGGACAUAGCUAGGAUUGACAGAUUGAUAGUUCUUUCUUAAUUUCUAUGGGUGGUGGUGCAUGGCCGUUCUUAGUUGGUGGAGUGAUUUGUCUGGUUAAUUCCGAUAACGAACGAGACCGCAACUUAUUAAAUAGCGGGGUUAAUUGUCUAAUUAGUGAAAGGGUAGGGGUCUGCAGGCCCUCUAACGGGGGUUUCUGUGGUCCCUGCUUGGGAUCUUUGACAUUUUGGCUACUAUAUGCUUCUUAAAGGGACUAUUUGUGUUUAACAAAUGGAAGUGCGGCAAUAACAGGUCUGUGAUGCCCUUAGAUGUCCUAGGCUGCACGCGCGCUACACUGGCAGAUUCAAAGAGUUUGAAAUCGCCUGCCUCGAAGGGGCUGGGUAAUCUGAAAACUUUUGUCGUGACAGGGAUCGGUUAUUGCAAUUAUUAGUCGUUAACGAGGAAUUCCUAGUAAUCGCAAGUCAUCAGCUUGCGAUGAUUACGUCCCUGCCCUUUGUACACACCGCCCGUCGCUCCUACCGAUUGAAUGGUCCGGUGAAAUGUUUGGAUGCUAGGGACCACAUCGGAGCAAUUCGGUGUACUCUGGGAGAAGAUCAGUAAAUCUUAUCAUUUAGAGGAAGGAGAAGUCGUAACAAGGUU